CGGUGUUGGGGGACGUGAGGGCGCCGACGCUUCGCCUGAGCGGGCAGUGUUCGUGGUUUGAGUUUGUGACUGCUGGGGACGCUUUCCCGGCCGGCUCGCUGUUUGGAAGCGUGCUCUGCCUUCGCACUGCCUGUUGGGCCCACCAUGAGGCGCCUGGGUUCGGUGCAGCGGAAAAUGCCGUGUGUGUUUGUGACGGAGGUGAAAGAGGAGCCCUCCACCAAAAGGGAGCAUCAGCCAUUUAAAGUUUUGGCAACUGAAACUCUAAGUCACAAGGCAUUAGAUGCAGAUAUAUACAGUGCACUUCCAACAGAAAAAGUGGAUGGAACAUGUUGCUAUAUUACUACCUACAAAGGUCAGCCAUACCUUUGGGCUCGGCUAGAUAGAAAACCUAACAAACUAGCUGAGAAAAGAUUUAAAAAUUACCUACAAUCAAAACAAAACUCACAAGAAUUUUUUUGGAAUGUUGAGGAGGACUUCAAACCUGUUCCAGAGUGCUGGAUACCAGCGAAGGAAAUAGAACAAUUAAAUGGGAAUCCGAUGCCUGAUGAAAAUGGACACAUUCCUGGUUGGGUACCAGUGGAGAAACACAACAAACAGUACUGCUGGCAUUCCUCUGUAGUUAAUUAUGAAUUCGAAGUUGCCCUGGUACUGAAGCAUCAUCCUGAUGAUCCUGGGCUUCUGGAAAUUAGUGCAGUGCCGCUCUCAGAUCUCCUAGAACAAACACUAGAACUUAUAGGAACAAAUAUUAAUGGAAACCCGUAUGGGCUAGGAAGCAAGAAGCAUCCAUUACAUCUUCUUAUACCACAUGGGGCAUUUCAAAUCCGAAAUCUACCUACCUUGAAGCACAAUGAUCUGUUAUCCUGGUUUGAAGGUUGCAGAGAGGGUAAAAUUGAAGGAAUAGUAUGGCAUUGUAACGAUGGCUGUUUAAUCAAGGUAAUGACAGAAAGUAGCUCGCGGGAUGUCGUCGUCUUACUUCCUAAAACGAGGUAGAAGUGGCACUAGAAUAUUCUCUACAGAUUGCAGUAAUUCUAAUGUGUUAUAAAGAAAUUUAAUUUCCCAUUCUCACAGGCCACCAUUCUUUAUAUAAUAGUGUUUCCCAAUGUGUAUUCAUUCUCUGGGGCAUUGGUUUUCCUAGACGCGCUUCAGAAUUAAAGUGAUGAAAAUGUCUGGAAAAACUGCACAUUACAUACUGCCUUCUUGGAAAUUGAUGUUGCAGAUGAAUGCGCUCUGACAUAAUCCGUACCAACUUAGUUUAACUCAGCAUUUCCCAAACUUACUUGAUUAUAGAAUUUGAGUUAAAAGUGCCAAGGUAACAGUUAAUAUUUACAGAAGGAACUUUUAUACUUUAUGCCCUUUCUGUCUCUUGGACUUGUCUAUUUGAUUUCGCAAAGGUUUCUGAAAUUAGUAAUGUUCAGAACUGGACCUAGUCAUAUCCACCCCUGACUCCCAACAGUUCAAAAACUGAAAUAUCAUUUUUAACCCCUCUCUCCAUUACUUCACAGAUAAAGAUUCUGAUCUGUUGAAUCUGUACUUCUCCCCAACCAGUUGGCAGUUAAUUUUCAUUUUAACUGAAGCCAAGAUUCAUGCUUGACCUAGUUUAUCACCCUCUUAAAGGUUAUCUUUCAGUCUUAUCCCUGUUCUGUCCAUUCUUCACAGUAAGUGAAAAUGUUAACUUUGCUGCAUAAAACUUGCUUAGUGACCUUAAGAUUAUUCAUGAUCUGACCCUUGCUUCACUUUCUGGAACUGCUGUACACCCCCAUCUGCCAAAUAUACCCACACAGUAUAUGUUCUAACCAUGCUUAUAUAAUUGCAAUCAGAGCAAAAAAAGCACCAUUGUGUCACGUGACAUUUAGAAUGCCUCCCCACCCAUAUUUUUUAAUUGGCUAGCUUCUGUACUCAGCAGCAGACUCUAUUCAUUAAAUUUUUAUGGAGUCCCUGAAUAUGUUCCUGGCAUGUUUCCAGGUGCUGGAAAUACAGAAUCAACAAAACAGUGUUUCUGCCUUCACGAAGCUCACAUUCUAAUGGGGAAGAUAGACAAUAACAAGUAAAUAUGUAAUAUGUCAGGAGGAGAACACGUAUGAAAAAAAAAGGGUUCAUCGCCAUCAUCUUGGUUUAUGCUGGCCAAUUCCAGAUACUUAUAUGAAUUCAAAACCAGUUAUUAUCAACAUGAACCUGAACAAGUAUGACCAUGCCUUUAAUACUAAAUGUUUGUUUAGUCUUUUUUCAA